rnacentral:lncRNA from 1 species
UGACAAGGACAGGAUUAAGGAUGAUUAUUACCCUGGAAUAUAUCAAAUUCCAUUCUAUGACAAUGAAACAGAAAUGAACAAAAACAUCAUGGUCAUUAAGAAACUGAUUACAAGAACACAAGAAUGGUAUAGCUAAUAAAAAGAUGACUACGACCCUAGCACAACGAGUGAGUACAACAAACUUAGACAUAGACUGGUCCGGAAGUAAGAUAUUACGAAGAAAACAGGACCCGAAGAGAGGGAGAAUUGCGGAAGUGUUGACAGUAUAUUCCAACCGCAGUAAACGGACAAAACCAAUUAACAAGAUCGACCCUACCUCGAUAAAUAACGCCUGGAAGUGGUGU